AAUUUAAUAGUAUUUUAUUAGGGUUUGACUUAAGUUUUGAUUAAGAUUCAAUUAAGAUUUUAAUUAGGAUUUGAUCUUAGAUUUGGUUAAAAUUUAUAAAGAUUUCAAUUAAGACUUGAUCUUAGAUUUGGUUCAAAUUUAUUAAGAUUUUAAUUAAAGUUAAAUUGAGAUUUGAUUAGGAUUUAUUAAGAUUGGUUUAGAAUUUAGAAAUUUAUUAGGAUUUCAUUAGAGUUUGAUCUAAGAUUUGAUUAAGAUUCAAUUAAGGUUUCAAUUAGGAUUUAAUCUU
rnacentral:lncRNA from 1 species